UCCCUGGUAGUCCAGUGGUUAAGACUCUGCACUUCCACUGCAAGGGGCCUGGGUUCAAUCCCUGGUCUGGGAA